UGGCUCAGGACGAACGCUGGCGGCGUGCUUACACAUGCAAGUGGUGCGACGAACCAGGGCUUGCCCUGGGGCCAAGCCGCGAACGGGUGAGUAACACGUGAGUAACCUGCCCCGAUGAUUGGGACAACCCGAGGAAACUCGGGCUAAUACCGAAUGUGGCGCACAGGUCUAAGCCUGUGCGCUAAAGGAAGCUUCGGCCUCCGCAUUGGGAGGGGCUCGCGGCCCAUUAGCUUGUUGGUGGGGUAACGGCCUACCAAGGCAACGAUGGGUAGCUGGUCUGAGAGGACGAUCAGCCACACUGGGACUGAGACACGGCCCAGACUCCUACGGGAGGCAGCAGUGGGGAAUCUUGCGCAAUGCGCGAAAGCGUGACGCAGCAACGCCGCGUGGGGGAAGACGGCCUUCGGGUUGUAAACCCCUUUCAGGAGGGACGAAGGCUCACCGGUGAAUAGCCGUGUGGGUUGACGGUACCUCCAGAAGAAGCUCCGGCUAACUACGUGCCAGCAGCCGCGGUAAUACGUAGGGAGCAAGCGUUGUCCGGAAUCAUUGGGCGUAAAGCGCGCGUAGGCGGCCUCAUAAGUCCGUUGUGAAAGUCAAAGGCUCAACCUUUNGAAGCCGAUGGAUACUGUGAGGCUAGAGUUCGGAAGAGGCGAGUGGAAUUCUGGUGUAGCGGUGGAUGCGC
rnacentral:rRNA from 1 species